UACACGUAUACAUGAUCCACUAAUCUUAACUUGUUCCAUCUUGACUUGUUCAGUCCCAUCAAAAUCAGUUGCUUCAUUAACCAGCGAAAAGGACCCGUACGCGGUGCGUAAGAAGUCCACGCUUACCGUUUCUUUCAGUACUGAUUGAGCUUUCCGUCGAUUGACCUAUGCAGGGAGGAAAAAAGGCUGAUCAGCGAAAAUUUCUGCAGCUGUUGCUUGUUCCUUUUUCUUGGUGAUGAUUCUUUCGGCUUUUUCUUUCUUUUGCUUCAAGAGAAGGAAGCAUUUCAAGAACAAAAACACUCCAGCGCCGAUUAUCUCAAGAACAACAGCGGCGCCGAAGAAGAUUGAAAGGGGAAAAUGGGCGGCAUUCGAUUUACCUACCCUGCAAGAAGCAACCGGCAACUUCCAUGGGGGAGGGCGGGUUCGGUACCGUAUACAGGGGAAAGCUCUCUGAUGGACAAAAGUUAGCAGUGAAGAAGCUAUCCCGGAUUACUAGACAGACUGAACCAGCUACACAAUGAAGUGCAAGUAUUGGCUGAGCUUCAGCAUAAGAAGCUUGUCAGGUUACUGGGGUUCUGCUCGCACCGGGACGAGAUGAUGCUUGUUUAUGAACAUAUAAAGAAUGGAAGCCUUGACAAAUUUCUAUUUGAUACUAGUAGGAGAGAAAUUCUAAAUUGGGAGCAGAAGUACAAUAUCAUUCUUGGAAUCGCCAAGGGAAUAUUGUACCUUCACGCAGAUUCAAGCAUAAGGAUCAUUCACCGGGAUUUGAAAGAAAAUAACAUCUUGCAGAUAAAUCUUACCAGUAGAGGGCUACUGUUAGGGAUAAUUUCCCGCCCCCCUCUUCGGAGGGUACCACGAAGUCUACUGAAAAUAUUGCAUGCCUGCCAUUACAGCUUUAUUUCAGGGACUUCAUCUGCAAGCGGCGAAGAUCACGGAGCGCCGUCGGUCGAAGGGUGUAGGCGCGCCCGCACCUUCGAUCUCCCGUACCGGCGAAGACGAGGGCGACCUUUGGCCGACGGGCGAAAUCCAUGCCUGCGGUCCUGAGUGAUCGCGGCGUGCGAAGAUACAAGCCGACCUUCGCUCGAGGGACGAAGGCUAUCUGACGAACAUCCGAGUGGAGAAGGCUUCGAUACAUCUUCGGAGGCAGAAAUCGCUACGGGACAGUGGGCCCGUUUUC